CCCACACAGCCCGAGACUACGACCUCCUACAUGUCUUGCUCACAGACCAGCCAACGUUCCGGCCAGAACGUUUCAAUCUACUCAUCACGUGACGAAACUUGCAACACAGACCCCCCAGACCAACACCACCACCACCACCGCGCACCAACCCCCCAAGGCACCAUCUCCACAGAGGUAUCACAAACCAACCUCUACGAUAAUUACUCCUUAAGUCAGAUUGACCUGAAUCGAAAAAACAUCACAUUUUCCAGCGAUAUGAACAAUUUUGUGAGUGAAGAGUUUUUGGAGUACUUAAACUCUCUACCAUCGAGGGGGAUUUCUAAAUGUAACUUGCAGAUUCCUAGCGUGUACGCUAAACUAGACAGACGAGAGUACCCCCCGGGACCCGUAAGGCGCCUUGAACCUCUGGGGUGUGGGGAUGGGUUGCUUGAGAGGUCGAGCAGUAACCGGACGUGUUUGGUGGCGUACCACCCCCUGCUGCCCACGAGAGUAGCUUCCCCUGGUAUGUUGAGUAGGUGAAGACAUUGAUUAGGUCAUCAAAGCAUUAGCAUCACCGGCCGUACCGUGAUUCCAGACAUACGAGGCGCCAGUCAGACCCGAACACGUCAUCAGGAUGUCCAGUACUCCAUCUGUGGUCGGUGUCGGACCGGCGGCGUCCAGCACCAUGGCAUCGUGCCGCAGUACUUGACCAGUUCGUACUCCACAUCUCCACAUUGUACAAGUCAUUACAGGGCUCUAUAGCUUGCUAUACUACAUCGUUAGUCUGUUGGUACAC